UACAGAGGUCUCAAGCGUUGUUCGGAUUCAUUGGGCGUAAAGGGUGCGUAGGUGGCGCCGUAAGUCGGGUGUGAAAUUUCGGAGCUUAACUCCGAAACUGCAUUCGAUACUGCGGUGCUUGAGGACUGGAGAGGAGACUGGAAUUCAUGGUGUAGCAGUGAAAUGCGUAGAGAUCAUGAGGAAGACCAGUGGCGAAGGCGGGUCUCUGGACAGUUCCUGACACUGAGACAGAAGGCCAGGGGAGCAAACGGGAUUAGAACCGUCU
rnacentral:rRNA from 1 species